rnacentral:rRNA from 1 species
GACGAACGCUGGCGGCGUGCUUAACACAUGCAAGUCGAACGGAAAGGUCCUGCCUUUGUGGGGUGCUCGAGUGGCGAACGGGUGAGUAACACGUGAGUAACCUGUCCUUGACUUUGGGAUAACUUCAGGAAACUGGGGCUAAUCCCGGAUAGGAGCUCCUGCUGCAUGGUGGGGGUUGGAUAGUUUCGGCGGUUGGGGGUGGACUCGCGGCUUAUCAGCUUGUUGGUGGGGUAGUGGCAUACGAAGGCUUGGACGGGUAGCCAGCCGUCGAGGGUGAGCAGCAACAGUGGGACUGGGAUACGGCCCAGACUCCUACGGCAGCGAGCGGUAGGGAAGAUGGCACAAGGGGCGGGGGCGUGAUGCAGCAACGCCGCGGCCGGGAUAGCGGCCUACGGGUUGGGGUCGGAUUGCGCCUGUGACGAAGCGUGUGUGACGGUAAUGGGUAAAAAAGCACCGGCUAACUACGUG